rnacentral:lncRNA from 1 species
UCAAACUUACUACAGCUGAAGAUAUCAAAGAGGAAAUCAUGGGAUUCUACAAGGCACUGAUGGGAACCUCUGCAACCAAUCUGCCUGCUAUAAACCAACGGUACAUGUCAAAUGGCCCAAAGCUGACACAACAAAGAAAGGAACUAUAUGCUGAUGUAACUGAUACAGAAAUAGUGGAGAGUCUCAAGGCUAUUGGAGAUGACAAAGCACCNNNNNNNNNNNNNNNNNNNNNNNNNNNNNNNNNNNNNNNNNNNNNNNNNNNNNNNNNNNNNNNNNNNNNNNNNNNNNNNNNNNNNNNNNNNNNNNNNNNNNNNNNNNNNNNNNNNNNNNNNNNNNNNNNNNNNNNNNNNNNNNNNNNNNNNNNNNNNNNNNNNNNNNNNNNNNNNNNNAGUUGUACCAGUCACAUAUGAAAGAUCUUGAAUAAUUCAAAAAAAGCUGGGGCAUCAUUGGUAGGAAGGUCACCUAAGUUGCUCCGACAUGGCAGUUUAGGUGCCGUACCCGUGUCGACACGACACUAGUAUGGGUGUGGGUAUGGGAUCCGUAUCGGAUGUGGUCAAACAAUUGUGGAUACUUUGACCACGUCAGACAAAAAAAUUGGAGACGAGAUACAAUUUGAUUCCCGAAAUCGGAACCAAAACUAGGGUAAAUCUAAAGAAAAUAGCAUACUUUAUCUAGGAAAUCAAUCAUUUACCUAUCUAACUUGAAAAUAAAGAAAUUCACAUUUUACAAGCUAAGUAUUCCACAAAAUUUCUCAUAAGUUAGAGAUAUUUUCAUAUUUUAAAAUAAUUUUUAGCAGGAUCCCUCCACCCGUAUCCGUACUAGGAUCCAUAUCCCCGAAUAUUAAAAUUUACAUCUUGAAGGAUCCGACCUCUAGAUCCGCACCAGUGUCGGACACCCGCACCCAUGUCCGAGCAACUUAGCUACAAACCUGAUACUAGACCUUUAGAUUCGCACCCGUGUCGGACACCCGCACCCAUGUCCGAGCAACUUAGCAGGUCACCACUGCCACUAAGCAGUUUUUCACCUCAACCAGGAUGUUCAAACCUAUAAACUGUGCAACUAUUACCCUCAUUCCUAAACUGUCCAAACCAUCUACAGUCAAAGAGUACCUUCACCAAAUGGAUAAUGGAAUGUAUCUCAACAGUGAGCUUCUCUGUGCUAGUUAAUGGAGAGGCAACUGAACCAUUUGCUGUUGCUAGGGGGCUGAGGCAAGAGGACCCCAUUUCCCCCCUCCUAUUUGCUCUGGUCAUGGAGUAUUUAAGCAGAUCAUGCAACUCACUAAAAGAUGAUCCAGCAUACCAGUUCCACCCCAGAUGUAAANNNNNNNNNNNNNNNNNNNNNNNNNNNNNNNNNNNNNNNNNNNNNNNNNNNNNNNNNNNNNNNNNNNNNNNNNNNNNNNNNNNNNNNNNNNNNNNNNNNNNNNNNNNNNNNNNNNNNNNNNGCAUACCAGUUCCUCCCCAGAUGUAAAAAACUGGGCAUCACUCACAUGUGCUUUGCUGAUGUUUGCCAAAGGAGACAUUACUUCUAUCCAAAUGUUUCUCUCAAUUCUCUGAAGCUUCUGGACUACAGGCUAAUCUGAAUAAGAGCUCGGCCUAUUUUAGAAGGGUAGCACUGGAUAUACAGAAACAGAUCCUCGACCACCUUGGCUAUGAGCAAGGUCAAUUGCCAUUCAAGUAUCUAGGAGUCCCCCUGUCCACCAAGAAAAUCACACUGCUCCAAUGGCAACCUCUAGUGGAUAGGAUCACUGCCAAGAUCACCUCUUGGACUGCCAAAACAUUGUCUCUGUCCACCAAGAAAAUCGCGCUGCUCCAAUGGCAACCUCUAGUGGAUAGGAUCACUACCAAGAUCACCUCUUGGACUGCCAAAACAUUGUCUUACUCUGGGAGAAUCCAACUGGUUCAAUCUGUUAUCUUUGGGGUCCAAGCUUACUGGGCACAACUGUUCAUAUUGCAUGUUAAAGUCCUGAAAAUGAUAGAAGGUAUUUGUAGGAGUUUCAUUUGGUCUGGGAUGAACACUGUAACUAAGAAAGCAUAUAUCUCUUGGNNNNNNNNNNNNNNNNNNNNNNNNNNNNNNNNNNNNNNNNNNNNNNNNNNNNNNNNNNNNNNNNNNNNNNNNNNNNNNNNNNNNNNNNNNNNNNNNNNNNNNNNNNNNNNNNNNNNNNNNNNNNNNNNNNNNNNNNNNNNNNNCCUGCUGGGACCUAGCUCAUAAAAAGGACAAGCUGUGGAUUAGGUGGAUCACUGUGUACUACAUCAAAGACAGACCUAUAGAAUCCAUUCCAAUUCCUUCUCAGGCAAGUUGGAUGGUUAGAAAGAUCAUCCAAUCAAGAGACAUACUAUAGAGGAUCCAACACUGGAAGGAACAUAGAUGCUCAACUAGACAGUUGUACCAGUCACAGAUGCAAGAUCUGCAGAGAGUCCCAUGGAAGAAUUUAAUCAUACAAAACUAUGCAAGGCCAAAGGCAACCUUCAAUCUGCAGAGAUGCUCAACUAGACAGUUGUACAGGUCACAGAUGCAAGAGUUGCCGAGAGUCCCAUGGAAGAAUUUAAUCAUACAAAACUAUGCAAGGCCAAAGGCAAUCUUCAACCUAUGGCUAUUCUUAUAGGACAGACUCCCAACAAAGGACAGAUUGCACAGCUGGGGAAUGAGUAUUGAUCAACAAUGCACCUUAUGCCAAAAUCACCCGGAAACUAGAGACCAUCUGCUAGUGUCCUGCCCUGUCACUAUGGACUUAUGGGAAAGAACAAUGAACUGGUUGCAGAAGAAUUAUCUUCCCACCAAUGAUUGGAACCAGAAAAUGCAGUGGUUAGUAAGCAAAGCCAAGGGUCGAACAUGUCGAGCAACCAUCUUCAACAUGGUAACUGCUGAGUUUGUAUAUACUAUCUGGCUGGAAAGGAAUUCAAGAAUCUUCAACAAGAUAUUUCGAUGUAACACAGCCCUUUUAAGAGACAUAGUGUAUAAUUGUAAUGUUAGAGGUACCCCACGAAUUAGACAGCAAUUACAAAUAUAGUAGUGUUAGUUAGUUAGGAUAGUAGAAACAAUUUAUAUGUUAUCCCACAGAUAGUCAGCUGAGUUGAAGCUAGACUAUGGUUUUGUAAUGUUACUUCAUUAGUGAUUAAUGAAAUGCCUUAAUUACCAAAAAAACUUUCGAACAUUGUAUUUCAAAUUAAAAAAUUGUCUUAAAUUCGGUUUCGAUACUGUAUUCUUAAUUACCAAAAAAUAAAUCAAUAUCAUAUAGUUGGAAUAGUGAAUAAUCAAUUAUGCAUCAUACUUAUAGAUACAGGAGCAUGUAUGUCCCAUAUCACAGCAGAUUUAGUAAAAGAAAUUUAUGAAGCAGAACAAGAGUUUAGGUAUAAAGACUUUUUAGGUCUAGAACAUAUACAUGAUAAAGCAUCAGAAAUCGAGAUUACUUUCAGUCAAGAUUUAAGUAUUAAGUUUGAAAUCUUAGUUGAUUUUCAAGAUAAAAGAAGAGAAGUUUUAUUAGGAAUAGAUUUCCUGAAAAUUUUUGAAUAUAUAAUUAAAAACGAAGAAAUAAUUUUAGAAAUAAAUCAUAAGCAAUUUAGAAUACCGAGAAUAAGGUUAAACCCUUAUCUCAUUAAAAAACAGAUACAAUAAUGGAAGAAGAAAGUAAAAUUAUUCAGUUAGAAGAUAAUCAAGGAAGAUAUAUUCAAGAUAUCCUUUUAGAUAAAAAAAAUAGUUAAUCAAGUUAAGAAUAAAGGAAAUUUAGAUAUAGUCGAAACAGAAGGAACGAAAAGUUCAAUAUUACAGAAAUUGUCUAGAAAAAAUAUAAUUUAUUAUGGAAUAAUGCAAGGAGAACAGCCUGUUAAUAUAGAACAAACUACGACUAAGUUUCAAGCACCGUUGAUAGACAUUUAUCAAAUAGGAAAUAGAUUAAUGGCUAUAAAAACCGAAGAACGAUUAAAGACUAAGUUCCAAGCACCAUUGAUAGACAUUAAUCAAAUAGGAAAAGAUUAAUGGCUAUAAAAAACGAAGAACGAUUAAAAAUAGGAUAUAUUCAUACAAACACUAUCAAGAUAAUAAUCAGAUCAACUUUCAGAGAAGGUAUUAAAACACCCGUUACACUAACAGUCGAAGAUAAUAGAAUUAUGGAUAAUCAGUAUAAAAAAUUAGGAGAAAUAGAAGGAGAUUUAGGAUACACAACAAUAAAGUUUUGUGUUACACUACAGUUUCCUAUACCACUAAGUACAAAGAAAAUAGAUAAUUGUUUAGGCAUAAUAUGUAAUUUUAAAGAAAAACAUUUCAUGGAAAAAGGUGAUAUUCCUUUGUAAUCUGUUACAUGAUAGCAUAUGCACUUAGUAAUUUUUGUUUAAGUUUAACUUACAAGAAUCAAGAUCAAAUAUAAACAGAUAAAUUAUUAAGUGAAACAAGUACACUAAUAAAAAGUGAUGAAAUAUCUAGAGAGUUUCUUAGAACUCAUAGUUCUAGAAAUUUACUAUUUAGAAUAGAACAAAGUAAUUUAUUACCAUGUUCUAGUCAAAAAAAUGAUAUAAAACAACCGACAAGUAAAAAGACUUUAUUUGAAGAAGAUAAUGAAAUAGAAAAAAUGAAUAGGCAAAUAACAGAGUUAAAUAAUAUUAUAGAAAGUUUAAAUAAAAAAAUAUAAUAUGGAAAGAUUAAUAAUAAAAAAUGUAGAUCUAAAACAUAGAAUUAAAGAUAAGAUGGAAAGAUUAAUAAUUUAAAAUAUAGAAUAAAAGAAUUAGAAAAAGAAAAUGAAGAGCAACAUGAUUUAAUAUUAGCAAAGGAUAAAGUAAUAAAAAAGCAAGAAGAAUUUGUAAUAACCUUGUUAAAAAGAAUAGAUAGUUUAAAAAGAGAAUUGAAUGGACAAGCAGAUCUAGAAAAUGAAUCGCCUAAUACAGUUUUAUAUUAAUCCACAAUAAGCAAACUAGUGCUUUAAAUCUAGCAAACUAGUGCUUUAAAUUUCUAGAACUAAAUGCGGGCUAGAUUUAAAGCACUAGUUUGUUUAUUGUGGAUUAAUAUAAAACUGUAUUAGGCGAUUCAUUUUCUAGAUCUGCUUGUCUAUUCAAUUCUCUUUUUAAACUAUCUAUUCUUUUUAACAAGGUUAUUACAAAUUCUUCUUGUUUUUUUAUUACUUUAUCCUUUGCUAAUAUUAAAUCAUGCUGCUCUUCAUUUUCUUUUUCUAAUUCUUUUAUUCUAUGUUUUAAAUUAUUAAUCUUUCCAUCUUACAUCUUUUUAUUUAAACUUUCUACAAUAUUAUUUAAUUCUGUUAUUUGCUUAUUCAUUUUUUCUAUUUCAUUAUCUUCUUCAAAUAAAGUCUUUUUACUUGUCGGUUGUUUUAUAUCAUUUUUUUGGCUAGAACAUGGUAAUAAAUUACUUUGUUCUAUUCUAAAUAGUAAAUUUCUAGAACUAUGAGUUCUAAGAAACUCUCUAGAUAUUUCAUCACUUUUUAUUAGUGUACUUGUUUCACUAAAUAAUUUAUCAGUGUAUAUUUGAUCUUGAUUCUUGUAAGUUAAACUUAAACAAGAAUUACUAAGUGCAUAUGCUAUCCUGUAGCAGAUUACUAGAGGAAUAUCACCUUUUUCCAUUGAACUUUUUUCUUUAAAAUUACAUAUUGUGCCUAAACAAUUAUCUAUUUUCUUUGUACUUAGUAGUAUAGGAAACUGUAGUGUAACACAAAACUUUAUUGUUGUGUAUCCUAAAUUUUUAUACUGAUUAUCCAUAAUUCUAUUAUCUUCGACUGUUAGUGUAACAGGUGUUUUAAUACCUUCUAAUUAUCUGGAUAGUGUUCAUAUGAAUAUAUCCUAUUUUUAAUCGUUCUUCGUCUUUUAUAGCAAUUAAUCUUUUUCCUAUUUGAUUAAUGUCUAUCAAUGGUGCUUGGAACUUAGUUGUAGGUUGUUCUAUAUUAACAGGCUGUUCUCCUUGCAUUAUUCCGUAAUAAAUUAUAUUUUUUCUAGACAAUUUCUGUAAUAUUGAACUUUUCGUUCCUUCUGUUUCGACUAUAUCUAAAUUUCCUUUAUUCUUAACUUGAUUAACUAUUUUUUUUAUCUAAAAGGAUAUCUUGAAUAUAUCUUCCUUGAUUAUCUUCUAACUGAAUAAUUUUACUUUCUUCUUCCAUUAUUGUAUCUGUUUUUUAAUGAGAUAAGGGUUUAACCUUAUUCUCGGUAUUCUAAAUUGCUUAUGAUUUAUUUCUUCCUUUUUAAUUAUAUAUUCAAAAUUUUCCUGGAAAUCUAUUCCUAAUAAUACUUCUCUUGUUUUAUCUUGAAAAUCAACUAAGAUUUCAAACUUAAAUCUUGACUGAAAAUAAUCUCGAUUUCUGAUGCUUUAUCCUGUAUGUGUUCUAGACCUAAAAAGUCUUUAUACCUAAACUCUUGUUCUGCUUCAUAAACUUCUUUUACUAAAUUUGCUGUGAUAUGGGACAUACAUGCUCCUGUAUCUAUAAGUAUGAUGCAUAAUUGAUUAUUUACUAUUCCAACUAUAUGAUAUUGAUUAUCAUUAUAUGUUUGUUUUAUUUCUAAAAUCAUUUUAAUAAAUUUUUAUGAGGUUGUGAAACUAGAAAGAGUAACAGUAUUUUACAGAGAGAUAUACCUGAGUUUUUCUGAUAUCAACACAAGUCCGAAUAACGAGCUACAACAUCCCUUGCAAAACGCCCUUUUCUACAUACCUCUAGUGCUCCAGAUAUACUUCUGAAAAACUUACUAUAAUCUCUUUGUUUUUCUGUUUCCUCUCUAGCUUCACUCAAAAAACUUAGCUACUCAUAUGAACUGAAUAAUACUUUUAUUACCGAAUAUUUUUACAACAUUUCAAGGACUGAUUUUUGGCUUAUGUCUACUCUUAUGUUCGUCUGUCCUUAAAAUGAAAUUGUCCCUCUCCUUAUAUAGAUGAAGUGGAAUGAUACAGAAAAGAAAUAAGUGAUUGUUGCUACCCAACAAGUCACAUCUACUUUUACAUUAUUGAGGGCAUAGGGUCCCUCCUUAUCUCUUUGUGGCUACAUUAUUGUUGUGGUCCUGGACAGCUGGUGAUUUCUUCAACAGAUAAUCUGUGACGUAAGUGCCUGCGUCUUUAUUUUUGUUGUUUUAUCUGAGUGCUAAUAACUUUCAACUACUGUUGUAAUAUCUCCUUCCUUGGUGCAGAUGGUACAUGCAUGAUCUUCUGCAUAUGUUGUAGUUAAUCUCUCGCAUAUUGCCGCUUUUGUAUCUUGACUAAAAUCAAACUGAUUUUUAAUUAAACGUUCCAUAAACUGACUGAGCAUCUUUGUAUCUAUUUCACUUGCUGGCUUGGAUUGUUGACUCCAUAUGAUAACUGAUUUUGCUGCAUAAUUUAUUCUUCCCUUUAUCUUAAUACUUCGAUCAAGUAGUAAAGUAUAAUUGUUAAGGAGUUGUUCUAACGGUUCUGUUUCUUCAAUUGUCCCUGUGUACAUGUCUGGAUAAUGUUGAUUACUGAUUCCAAUUUGACAUAUCUGUAUUGAACUUUGUAUUUACCUCCCCCGCUGCUGAAAAUUGAGGAGCCCGUGGUCGAGGUUAGGCUAGUGAAUGAUAGGUUAAUGUCUAUUAAGUUGGUUAUUGGGGGUUGCGUCCUCAACGUCAUAAGUGCUUCCGCACCACAAAUGGGCUUAGAUGAGGAGGUUAAGAGGCACUUUCGGGAGGUCUUGGAUGAUUUGGUGAGUAUUAUUCCCCAAUCUGAGAAGUUAGUUAUUAGAGGGGAUUUUAAUGGUCAUAUUGGGGUUGAUGCUGGUGGUUAUGGUGAGGUGCUCGGUCGCUUUGGCCUUGGGGUUAGGAACGGAGGAAGCACAUCGCUGCUUGAUUUCGCCAGGGCUUCUGAGCUUCUGAUUACUUCGGCUUUGGGGUUAGGAACGGAGGAGGCACGUCACUGCUUGCCUUUGAUAUAUACUUGGUGCCUGCUUUAAACCAAAAGGUAAAACAUUAAAUUCAUACUGGUUUUGUGGUAGACGACUAAAUGCUGUUAGUGGCUUAGUGUCUUCAUGUAAUCUUAAUUGAUAGUAACCGGAUUUUGCAUCCAGGGUUGAAAACCAAUUAUUUUUUUUAAUUUUUGUGAAUAUAUAAUCUUGUCUUGAUAAUUUAUAUGCAUCACCUUUAGUUGCUGCAUUCAUUUUUUUAUAAUUUAUAACCAUUCUUCUACGUCCCCUUUUAAUCUCAUUGUGAUUUUCGACGUAAAAAGCUGGUGCACUAUGUGGACUGUGACUUGAUCUUAUUAUUCCUUUUUCUAGCAUUUGUUUAGUUUCUUUAGCAAACUCUUCUACAUCUCUUUCUGUGUAUGGAAUAUUGUUUGGUACAUUAACUUCUUUAUUAGGAUCUAUUAAUUCAAUCCUAACUUCCAUACUAUUUGUAUUCUUUUCAGGGUCGAGUGCAUCUUGACUACAAACCUUAUCUAACAAGUUAAAAACUUGUUGUUCUAACUUUUCUUCGAGAAGUGUAUAGAUUCUUUUUAUAAUCUCUCCCUUUACAAAAGAUUGUGUAUUAUAUAUCUUGGUUGUAACUAAAUGUGAUUUCUUCAACAUGUAGUGAUCUGUGACGUAAGUGCCUGCGUGGUGUGGUAUCUAGUUGUUUACAACAUCCUAUGUUGACUCUCUGAAUAUGACCUUGUUCUAUUUUCUUAAUACAAAGGUUUUCUCUAUAUUCUUUACUUAAUUUUUCUAAUACUCCUAAAGUUUUUUCUUGGGUUCCUAUUUUUUCUUCAAUGUAUUUAACCAUUUCAUAAGAUAACUUGCUUUCUACUAUUUCUGUUAAUCACUGACGGUUUCUUGUUUUAUAGAAAUUUUAUCUUACUUGACAGAAAAAGUUUUCUAUAUAACAUGGGUUGCAUAACUUCAUAUUUGACAAUAUUCUAACUAUUUGUUCUCGUUUAUCUUAUAUAUUUUCUAUCUCUGUAAUUCCUAAGAAUUCUUUAAAUAUUUCUUUAGCCGCUGUAUCUAAUACAAACAGCUUUGAUUCUAUUGACACUUCAGUUUGUGCAUAAGGAAGAUUUACAUCAAUAGUAGUUGUUUCUAACCAAUCAAAUAUUAUACCAGUAGAUAUAUUUGAUAUAAUUACCAAAAUCUGCAACUGUUAAAUUAGUAAUUGUUUCAUCCUUAGUUUGUACUAAUAAUUUUAAUUGAUUAAUCCAUGCCAAUAUUAACUGUUCUGUAUUUUCCGUACAAUUGAUAUUUAAGAUACCAUUUGUUAUAUUUCUUUCUUUCUCUAAUAAUCGUCUAUGAUGGCAGAGGUCAAAAAUCCACUGAUGGUGCAAAGAAUCUUUACAUUCACUUUGAUAAUUUACCUUUUAGAAUUAGCUAAUGUGAUCCCAGUAACUAAUGUGAACCCUCUUUACUCUAUUGAAGAUUUGGCCCGGUAAAUCUCUUCUGGAGCAACACGAUAUGACAAAGCAAUGACAUUGUUCUUGACCUGCCUAAAGGAGUUUGCCGACUUUGCAAAUUCAAAAGAUAGGGAGAACAAUAUUCGUCCUGACAAAUGUUUUAAGCUUCCUAACAAGUAAGCCUCUGCAUAUUCAAGAAGCGUGAUUCCAUAGAAGCUUCAAUCUUUUAGCAAAAUGUUCUAUUGUAAAUCUCGGAUUUACGUUUCUCAGAUACAUUGCUAUUGUGUAAUUGGUAGUCAGAAUUUCUGCAAAGAAGAGUUUGGUAUAUUUUGUUUUUAUGAUAAGGUUGCUUGCUUAUUUCCACCAUUUUAUCCCUGAAAGAAGGAGCUUGAAGUUCGAGCAAUGACAUCAACUUAGAUCAGUUGAAAUAAUUACAUAAGUUUCUUUGCUUUUCCCUUUUCUGUUUUAGGUUGGUAAUGUAAAGGGGUCGGUGACUUGGGAUGGUCAUUCAUAUGAGUUUGUAAUAUGUCUUAGACAACUGCGUGCACCGGCGGGACAUAAGGGAGAGUUGGACAAAUUCCAACAUGGAAGGAGCUAAACCUGAUGCUUUUGCGAAGUACUUUUAUGAGUGCUGUUAGUUUGUAAUUUGUAUUACACCAAUUUAUCUUGAUCUUCGAACUACUGCUUUGAAGUGAAUGUUGAGCUUUUUAUAUGGCAUAUGUUAGGAUGUACAUAAUGGAGGCCCAGUAGCGGACCCAAGUGGUGGCUAGCGGGUUCAAUUGAACCCGCUUCACCAAAAAAUAAUACUGUGUAGAUGUAUAAAUUAGGAUUAAAGCUGUGUAAAUUUUGUAUAAAUAUUUAUUUGAACCCACUUGACAACUACUAUUUUACGACCUACUAUUUUACGACUAAAGUUAUAUACUUCUAAGAUUGAAUCCGCUUGUACAAAAUUCUGGGUCCGCCACUGUAGAUGCCACAAAUGGACCAUAGGUUACUUGACUCGUUGUUAGAUAUAGAAUUGGCAUUCUCCAACAAAGUUUUGGUCUGAUAUAUUACAACCUGAGUGCUGUAACAACAACAACAACAACUACUACCAGUAUAGUCCCACAAAAUGGGGUCUGGGGAGGAUAAUAUGUAGACGAGCCUUACCCCUACCCGAAAGGGCAGAGAGGCUANNNNNNNNNNNNNNNNNNNNNNNNNNNNNNNNNNNNNNNNNNNNNNNNNNNNNNNNNNNNNNNNNNNNNNNNNNNNNNNNNNNNNNNNNNNNNNNNNNNNNNNNNNNNNNNAAACACAAAAACAAAAACAANNNNNNNNNNNNNNNNNNNNNNNNNNNNNNNNNNNNNNNNNNNNNNNNNNNNNNNNNNNNNNNNNNNNNNNNNNNNNNNNNNNNNNNNNNNNNNNNNNNNNNNNNNNNNNNNNNNNNNNNNNNNNNNNNNNNNNNNNNNNNNNNNNNNNNNNNNNNNNNNNNNNNNNNNNNNNNNNNNNNNNNNNNNNNNNNNNNNNNNNNNNNNNNNNNNNNNNNNNNACUAACUCCAGCAGAAAUAGCGUAAAUUAUUAUCUAAACAUAAGAACCAUAAAUAAAAUAGCAUGCAAUAAUAUCAUACAGUAACUACCAUAAAUAACCUGAGUGCUGUAACUGUUGCUUAAUUAUCUAUGGGUUUCUUGCAGGAUUGACAAUGACAAAGUUGAAAGUUACUCCAUUACUCAGAGCUUCAAUAAGCAGGAAAACUGGACCAAAGCUCUCAAGUACACACUCUGCAAUUUGAAGUGGGUGCUCUACUGGUUUGUUGGAAACACAAAUUUCCAGCCACUUUCUGCAACCGUCUCUUCACAAGCUGAAGUUCCAGCUGCAGGAUCACUAUACAGCAAACAACCACUUUCUGCAACCGUCUCUUCAGUCUGAUGUUACUAAUAUAUUGUACCUUCCCUUCUCUUCUCGUGUUUUCCAUCUUCUUGAGCUGAGGGUCUCCCUGAAAUAGUCUCUCUACUCCUUGGGAUAGGGGUAAGUUUUGCGUACACACUACCCUCCACAGACCUCACUUGUGGAAUUUCACUGGGCUUCUUGUUGUUGAUAAAACUUUCAACUAUGCUUACCAUGCAUUUUAAGAAUGUCUUAUAUUACAAAUAGAACUAAAGCUUGAAAAGUUGAACUUUUUAGAUUUCAAUUCUAUGGCAAUACUAGUAGUUUGGAUAUACAUUAAGAAGGGGAGCCUUGGCGUAACUGGUAAAGUUGCUGUCAUGUGACAAAGAGGUUAUUGGUUCGAACCACUGAAAUAGCUUCUUGCACAAAUACAAGGUAAGAGAAUCUUAGGGCACCGGAUUGCCCUUUUUGGAGUAUACAUUAAGAAGGGGAGCCUUGGCGUUUUUUGCAGAAAUACAAGGUAAGAAUACAUACAAUAGACCUUUGCGAUCCGGCCUUUCCUCGGACCCCACGCAUAACAGAAGCUUAGUGCACCGGAUUGCCCUUUUUGGAGUAUACACUAACUGGGGAGCCUUGGCGUAACUGUGAAGUUGCUGCCAUGUGACCAGGAGGUCACUGGUUCGAGCAACGGAAACAGCCUCGUGUAGGAAUACAAGGUAAGACUGCGUACAAUAGACCCCUGUGAUCCGGCCUUUUCCCGAACCCCGCGCACCUGGUUGCUCUUUGUCGAGUAUACGUUAGAUAUAAUUUUCUUGAAAACUUGAACUUGUUGAAUUUGCUAGUAUAUAUUUGCAUAAUUCUUAUCAUUCCUGUAGCUACUAAAGCUUGAGCAUGAGUUAUUUCCAUUUCUCUACUUUACAUGUUCAGGUUUACUUUUUCCAGAACAGAAUCAAAGAGUCAUAUCUACGCCUUUCGAUCAGUUAGAGAUCUCAAACAGAAGGGCAUAUUCUUUCGGUCGAGUAGCAUAAAUUCUAUCCAUGGAAUCAAAUUCAAAUCCUACAAGUUGUUUGGAAAACUCGAUCUUCCUAAGGAACAGAUGAACAUCUAUAGCAAGGUAAUCAAUUCAAACAUGAUAGCUUAUGAGAUGAGUCCAAACACGAAUACUCGAUAUGAGGUGUCAUCUUAUGUGAAUUUUAUGAAGUCACUGAUAGUAUGUUCAGAGGAUGCCAAAGAACUACGAGAGAAAGGAGUAAUCUGCAACCACUUGGGAACAGAUGAAGAAGCAGCCAAACUGUUCCAAGAUAUUACUAAUGACGUGUUCUCUCAUGGCGGUGCUCUUGUUGAUAUUAUAAAAGAUAUUCAGACCCACGUUAGCAGCAAAGCUAAAACAUCGAUGGCAAAGUGCUACCGGACUUAUUUUAGCACUCCAUGGUCAAUUAUCUCAUUACUUAUAGCUGGUGCGCUUCUUUGCUUAACUAUUAUGCAAACUCAUUAUACUAUGUAUCCUAUGAAUUAAACAGAUGCCGCCGUGUGUAAACACCUAAUUUAUGUUCCUUCUCUUUUUGUCUGGUCAUUCCUAAAUAAAUGUUUUGUUUCAUUUUAGACCUUAUUUUCUUUUGAUUUGUCUUAUUUUUAAGGCGAAACAUAGAUAGAUACGCUUAAAGUUGGCAUUCAAAUCCAGUUAGACGUCACCUUAACUAUGCCAAUAACCAAAUGGACACCUCUACUUGGCACAAGUGUGUCUCGUCGAUACCCCAGGUCCAGCAGAACUCACACAAAUAGACACCUUUUGACAUGUUUAUUCAGCUCCAAGUACUAUAUUCUGAGUUUGUAACUUUUGGUUGAUUUGCCCAAGUAGACUUAAGAAUUCAAGUUUAAGUGGCUAAAGUAAUAAGAAUUCAAAAAAACCUUAGUUCAAAACAGAAUUGUAUGCAUGCUUCUAUAUACAAGAAUCUUAAUUAAUCAAGGUACAUAGCAUACGAACUACGCAAGGAGUUAAAAAGGUAGCCUGGUGCACUAAGCUCCCGCUAUGUGGGGUUCGGGAAAGGAUCGGACUAUAGGGGUUUAUUGUAUGCAACCUUACCAUGCAUUUCUGCAAGAGGCUGUUUCCAUAGUUCGAACUCGUGACCUCCUGGUCACAUGAAGCAACUUUAUCUGGUAUGCCAAGGAUCUCCUUUCACCAGGUACUACUCAAGGAGUUUCUUUACAGAAAAAAAAAACAAAACCUCGAUCAACGUGUCAUGGAUGAACAUCUUCCAGCAUUUCUAGUGUAUUAGCUCCCCAACUCAUGAAUGAUUUUCCUCACUGAAAUUUGGUUCAGCUGGUUUCUGAAGCAGUAGAGGUAAUGUUGGAGACAAUUUACCACCAGUUGUAUGGUUGCGUCGCAAGGCGUGCAGUGCAUUAGCAGCAAACCGUGAUGCAUAAAUUGUUGCUCCAAGGCUUGGUGCAUUUGUGCUCUCUUUUGCUAAUGCAGCCUGCAAUCUAUCUUCUUCCUCUCUUAAAGAUUUCUCAAGCUUGUUCCUGCAGUGUCGACGCCAUGCUACUUGUAUAAAGCAUACACCCCAUGUCCUCCAUUGCUGUGAGUAAAACCUAAAAUAACCAAAGUAUAUAAGUGUUAAUGGCUUCCUGUAAAACUUAUACACGAGUAACUUAUGUCUGGUUAAUUUCACAGGUGAUCACUAACUUUCAACUUAGCGUAUAAAAGUCAUAAAUUUGACUUUUUAGUAGAACAAUAGCUUAGAUAAAAUGUAUACCAAAACAAAUGCUAUAUUUAGUCGCGAGAAACUCAAGUAGGCUUAUAGUUAUGUUAGCAACUCAUGUUACAUACUAUCUACGAAGUACCAGUUAAAAAAAAGCUCAUUUUCCUGAUCCAACCUAAUAUAUAUUAUGUCUUUCGUUGUGUGGCAUAUUGUGGUUUUUAUUUUUUGUUUUUUAGUUGGUCGGAAAACAAGCUAUUAUUUUGUUAAGUGGCGCCACAUGGAUGUUAUGUAAGUAAGUUGUUGAAGUGACAACUUGUGUUUUCAACCAGAUUUAGCAUUUUCUAGCCUUUUUCCUUAAUUUUCUGUCGGAUAAAGGCAUAAUUGAGUUAUUUCUCUUACAAAAUUAGUUUUCUGACUUUGCUACAAUAAGCUAAAAGUUAGAUGACCAUACAUGAAUUAACCACCAAAACUUAUACCAGUAACUUAUGCAUCAUGCUUUUGAAGCAUGUUUAUUUGCUGGUGUUUUUGCUUGCUGUUAUUCUUUUCUGUCUAUCUUUUUUGAUCCGAGGGUCUUCAUAAAACAGCCCCUCUACCUUCUGCAGGUAAAGGUAAAGUCUGCGUACAUUUUGCCCUCCCCUAACCUCAAAAGUGGGAUUAAAUAGGGGGGUCGUUGUUGUUGUUGUUGUAUUAAGCAAACAAAGCAGGAUUGAAGCAUGUUAUGAAAUGGAACAAGGCUUAAACAACAUACCUGAAACUAUGUUGAAGCUGUUUGCUAUGAAGACGUCGAAACUGUGAGGCAACAAACUUGAGAUCAUCAGCAGUGAGGGCAAAAGCUUCUAUAUCGGUUUCAGCUUGAACUGUUCUUGUUGAAAUAGGAAGACUAGAGGAAGUGUGAGGAUCUAAAGCCCAAGUAAGAAGCUCCUCUCCACAGAAAUCACCAGCUUUGAGUGAUACAGAGUUGAAAAAACCAGUUCUUCCAACAUUUGUCGUCAUUGUUAAUAGAGUACCUCUCAUUAGAAAAAGCAUCUCGUCUCCGGGAUCGCCUUCUCGGAUUAUGAAACUCUUCUCUGUGUAGAGUGCUGGUUUAAGUCGAUCACACAUUGCAUCUAGUAAUUGUUCGUCCAUUUUAUCGAAUAUUGGAACCUGCAUUACCAAAUCAAUGCAAAAUUUAGAGGAAAAACAAAGAACAAACUUCUUGUUUUUAUAUAUUACAAGACUUGUUGUGGUCGGAGGGGAGCCUUAGAACACGGUAAAGUUGUCUCCGUGUGACCUAUGAGUCAUAAGUUCGAGUUGUGGAAGCAGCCACCAAUGCUUGCAUUUGAGUAAGCUGUCUAUAUCACAUACCUUAGGGCGCGACCCUUCCCUGGACCCUGUGUGAACGCGGGAUGCCUUGUACACCGGGCUAUCUUUUAAGACUUAUUGUGGUCAAAGGGGUAAAGUUGUCUCCGUGUGACCUAUAGGUCACGGGUUUGAGUUGUGGAAGCAACCACUAAUGCUUGCAUUAGGGUAGACUUUCUAUAUCACACCCCUUGGAGUGCAGCCCUUCCCGGAUCCUGCAUGAACGCGGGAUGCCUUACGCGCCGGGCUGCCUUUUUAAGACUUGCUGUGAUUCCUUACGAGUUUGAGCUUGAUGUAUAGUUGAUUGAUACUCUUUUUUUUUUUUAGUAUGUUCCAAAAGAAGGACGGAACAUUUUUAUGUUUAGAACUCUUUUAACUUGGAAACUUUCCAUUUUUACCUUGAUGAUAUACUCUUAUGACAAUAGAACAGUCAUGGCGUAUAUUUAAGGCUACAAAUUCUAAGGGUACUUGUGAUAUGUAGCAAUAGUAUGUUAUUUUGUUGUUAGAAACAACAGAAAUAGCUAUGAAAAAUGAAGUAAAGUUGGAGAAGCAAAAUUUAAAUUUAAAUGUGGAUAUAUAGUUACUCUUUUGACCAAAGACCAACAGAGAUGACGCUUUAAAUCUCGUCUCAAAUCUCUAGGAAGAGUAAAUCUUCCUCAACACCUCUGGUUUCUUGCCAUUUGUAUUGUUCAUGUCGUCUAAUACGCACUUUCAGAUUAUCAGGAAGCAUCCGAUGAGACAUCCAUUGCUCUGCGUCCCGCCUUCUCACUCUCAUCUCUUCUACUCUUACCGUCAUAGAUUGCAAAUAUUUCUGUAUCAAACAACAAACGCGACUUCAAAUUUGUUCUAAAAUAUCAAAGCUCUCAUCUCUAAAUAGUUUGAGGAAUGGCACUAGGGAGUAAAGCUGUGUGACAUAUUUCACAACAUUAUGUGGUUCGCCACAAAUAGUCGUCAGUGAAAAGGUGAAUACAUAUAUAGAUUUUUAUAGGUCGAUUUUCGGGAAGGCGACAUAUAUCACAACAUUUUGUGGCUACUAGUUUGGUUGCCACACAGGGCAUAGAGAUGCUCUUUAGAGAUUAGCUGGUAUUUAUUUUGUCCCGAAACUUUAAACUAAAAUUUUUAACUUCAGAGCAAUUCAGAACAAAAAUGUCUAGAAAAAUUGAACUGAAAAAUUGAAUUCAGGUAAUACUGACUAAUUCCUAAAUAGCAACCCUCUAAAGUGGCUACCCAGUGUCAUUUCUAUGCAAUAGAAAGUUGCCUGAAAAGUGAUUAUUUGAUUUUUCGGAGGUUAAAAGUACAUAUAUGUGGCAACUAAAUUCCUAGGUCGCCGCUUAGAAAAGCGACAUAUAUUACAGUAUUUAGUGGAGGCUAGAUUUGUCGCCACAAAAAGUCGCCACUGAAAAUCUUAUUUCAUGAGGUGUGAGAAUUUGAAAAUAAGAGUAGUUGAGCACAGAUUUGUUUUAAAUGAUAAUGCAUAACAAAAUAAAUGGUCAUAUGUAAUUCAAAAUUCUAACCUGCAUAUUGCCAAUAAGCAAGGAAAACAAGAUUAGCCCAAUAAUUGAAAUGAAGAUAGCAAAGAGAAUCUCCCCAACAAAUGUGCUUGUCUUAAGGUUUUGGCCAAGAGAACUGAAAUAUAAAACAAGACAUUUUCUUAAACACAAGAAAACUCAAAAUGUCAUUAAACAUUGCAUAAGCAAAACUAACGCCAAAUGCAUGUACAAUCAGACCUCUAUAACAACAUCCCUAUAUAAUAAUAUUUUACUAUAAAAGUCAAGCUUUUUCCGGAAUCAAUUUUCAUGUUAUAUUAUAAUAUAUGUUCUUUAUAACAGCACUUCGCUAUAAUAUCCAAAAAUAUUCGGAACAAACAAAGCUGUUAUAGAGAGGUUUGACAGUAUAUGAAAAUAAGUAAAGGAAACAGACCUUAAGUUUCUCAGUCCCCACCAAAAGCAAUAGAAGAGUUUGGACCAGAAUAUUUGCUUUUCUACUAUCCGAAACUGAAGAGCAUCAAGAAAUAUACCAAAAUCAAAGUCAUUUGGAUCUUUUAUAUCUUCUGAUUUCAGGAGAGGACAUGAAGAAUUUAGAAGCAAAGCGUUUCCGUUUCUGUUUCCUCCACAGUAUAAGUAGUCUGAAGAACAUGAGUCAAUCUUCUUACAUGCGUCGCGCCAACAUGUAUCUUGGCGUUCUACUGAGAUCAAAUACCAGAAGGCUCCGACCACCUGAGAUAACAGAUAUGCUCCUAUUAAAACGAACUUUAGUUCAAGAUGAAAUCUUAUGAAACUGUCAAUCCAGUUCAUCCUUCAGAACCAUAUCACAUUCACGUUCUGAUGAAAUAUAACUUAUAUGCUUUGACAAUGUAGAUAAUAUUUAUACUAUCAGUGUAACUUAACGCGUUGUACAGUUAGACUUUUUUAUAAAAGCAGCUCUAUAUAACAACCAUUCACUAUAAAAGCCAAGUUUUUCUCGGAACAGAUUAUUAUAUUAUGUUAUAGAGUAUGACAAGAGUGGUUGCUCUGAUGGUAAGCAACCCCCACUUCCAACCGAGAGGUUGUGAGUUNNNNNNNNNNNNNNNNNNNNNNNNNNNNNNNNNNNNNNNNNNNNNNNNNNNNNNNNNNNNNNNNNNNNNNNNNNNNNNNNNNNNNNNNNNNNNNNNNNNNNNNNNNNNNNNNNNNNNNNNNAUUGGGGGUCUAUUUGGAAACAGCCUCUCUACCCAAGGGUAGGGGUAAGGUCUGCGUACACACUACCCUCUCCAUACCCCACUAAGUGGAAUUAUACUGGGUUGUUGUUGUUAUAGAGUAUGUCGUCUAUAACAACACUUCACUCUACCAGCCAAAAAUUAUCAAAACAAACGAAGUUGUUAUAGAUAUGUUUGACUGUAUUAGGUUAUUGGAGGUUAUUAAUUCCACUUAUUACGGAUAGUUACAUGUAACUAACUAUUUCUUAUGCGAUGUUAAAUACUCGAUUAGACGAUAGGUUGAAGAGUAACUUACAUUACUGGCUAACAUGUAGAGGAAAAGGUUGAAAGCAGCUCCACCCCAUGCUGUUUCUGUAAAUAAGCCUGCAGUUCUUGUUACUUCUUUGUACAAUGGAUAAAUUCUAAAUAUUCUUGGAACGUAUUGGACAAAAAUGACAAUCUUCAAUAUUUCUUUCGUCGUCAGAGAAAUCGGGCUAUUCACACUUGGACUGAUAAUCAAUAUCACAAUCUGCAACAAUAUAAGAUUAACUUGUUAAUAUCAGGGCAGCAGCAUGGUACACUAAGCUCCUGCUAUGUUCGGGGUCCGAGGAAGAGCCGGACCACAAGGAUCUAUUGUACGCAACCUUAUCUUGCAUUUCUGCAAGAGGCUAUUUCACGGCUCGAACUCAUGACCUCCUGUUCACAUGGCAUUAAUUUUAUCAGUAUGAUAUUAAGAGAAUGUUAAGAAUACAAGAUUUUGAGGACACAAACCUGUGGAAGUGGAAGGACUGCUAAAAUAUCAACAAUGAAAUAAGAUUUCAAAUAUCUCUUGGCUAUAGCAGAGGAAUCUUCAAUCAAUUCACCCCUUCCAAAUACUCGAGAAGAAGGAGCGAUAAAGCCAGUACGAAAUUGCAAGAAAAUAUGAAAGAUAUAGAACAGAUCAGUGAUCGAACGUAGAACAUAAGCAGUGAUCUUUAACGUCGUGUCCAAAUCAAGGCACUUGUUUUUGUUAUCAAUGACAGGUAUAUAGAAGAAUAGUGGAUCCAAUGACACUGCAAUUGUACAAAUCAAUACAAAUAUUUUGUUCCAUUGCUGAAGAAAUCGCCCCUGAGGAUCAAGAAUUUGUUUCUUUGAUAAGAUAGAUUGAUCUUUUGUUGGUUUAUCGGUUAGAGGAUGGACGCGUAUUGAUUUUCUCCAGCUACUAAUUCUUUCAGAACCACUCUCAAAUCUUCUUCUAAUGUUACUCAUCAACAAACUAAAUGAUGGUUUUCUGAUAUGAAAUGGCUUCUUAUUUGGAGAAUCUUGAUGCUCAACGUUGAAGGAUGACUGUUCUGACUUCCAGUCCUCGAACCUAUAAAAUUUAAAGCAGGAAAAAUUUGAUGCUCAGAGUUGAAGGAUGACUGUUCUAACUUCCAGUCCUCAAACCUAUAAAAUUUAAAGCAGGAAAAAUAUUAAUGAAAUAUUGGGAGAGCCAUUGGGAAAUGUAACAUUUACAACUAAAAAUGACAGUUCGACGCACUAAGCUCUGGUAAUACGCAACUCUUUAAAAGGAUUAGACUGGUUUCAUUGCAUACCUAUAGGCCACGAGCAAUGGCGGAGGCAGGAUCUUUACGAAAGGGGUUCAAAAACAAAAAUUAUAGCUUUAGAAUUGAACCUAUGACCUUAGGAAGGUUUUGAACCCCCUUGAACACUAAACUACACGUUUGGAUUGUGUUAAGGGGGUUCAAAACUUAAUAUAUAGAGGUAAAAAAUAGAUUUUGCCUUAUAUAUACAGUGUAAUUUUACGAUGACGCCCCUGGUCACGAGUUUGAGCAGCGGAAGCAACCACUAAUGCUUGCAUUAGGGUAAGCUGUCUAUAUCAGAUGUGCAAUCCUUCCCCGUACCCUACGUGAACGUGGGGUGUCUUCUGCACCGGGCUGCCCUGUCCAAACAUGUGACCUAUUAGUCACAGGGCGAUCAGUCUUGCCGUUGCGCCAAGACUCUCCUUCAUAGUUUAUUAACAAGCCAAAAAACAAAAGUAAACAUAAAAUUAUUGCACAUUACUUGUAUAGGAGACUGAUUGAACUAACCUUACAUAUUUAUCUUGCUUGAGAUUCAUCAUUUCAGCUUCAGGCCUAUAUUGAUGCUCAGAAUUUCAGCUUCUUUGUUCUAACAAAAUAGUCAACAAGAACUUCUUCCUCCCUUUCUCUCUAUUCUCCUAGAAUAAAGCUCAUUCUUUACUGCAAGAUAAUAAGAAUUAGAUUACAUUAACAACAAAACCAAUACUUCAUGACAUAAAAAGAAAGAACAAAGUUCAAAUGAGACUUGAUCAAUGUCAAAGUCAAUAGUCUUUAGCGGCUAGUUCACCUGAACCUAGUAAUUUCAACGCGAAGCAUAGAUAUAUCUAUAUACCUAUGUAAAAAUCCACUAAAAGUUUACACAGUAAGUUCACUACUGAAAACCUUAAAAGUCGAACUCAUCAAGUUUACAAUUCAAUCUUUUCUACCAUAAAAUCAAGAAGCCAUCGCGUUUCAUGCAACAUGAACUUGUGAUUUCAGAACUGAUAUUAAAGAAGUAAAACCAAAACUAGAUAAAUAUAUCAAACAGACAGAUUAAAUAAACAAACAACCAUAGUUUUUGCAUAGUCCAACUGUCAUGAAACUGGAAUUCAGAGAAACUUACACUGGCAGAAAAGAGAGAUUGAAGAGAAAAUUAAAGUUACCAUUUUAGAACAAGUAUACAUAAGGGUGUGUUUUAUUUGUUUGAGAAAGUUCCUGGAGAUUACCAUGUUAAUGAAAGGAAGACUUGGUCCUUUUUCCAUACGAACACAAAAAUAAGUAUAGGAAGACUUGGGAGGAGAGAAUAGUCAUAAGUCAACAAAGAGCUACGACAAAAGUAUUUAUUAUUUCUUUCUAAAGAAAUUUCCCUGCAUGCAUGGUUGGUGGGUGCCAUGAAAACUAUAGACCAACUUUUCUCAUUAUUGAAUAUAAAUUUACGGUAAGACCUGUUUGUAACAGUAUUUCUAUAUAAUACUCAUCCAUUAUUAACUAUUCUCAUUAUUAGAUAUAUGUUUAUUUUCUAAGUUUCUUUAAUUGAAAUUUGAAAAAUAUGAUUUAUGAAUCAAUGGAGCCUUGACGUAACUGGUAAAAUUUGUUGCCAUGUCACCAGGAGUUUACGGAUUCGAGAUGUGAAAAUAAACUAUUUUAGAAAUUUUAAAAAUACAAGGUAUGACUACGUAAAUAAAUCCUUGUGGUCCACCCUCCUCCAUGCCCUCGCAGUACAAUAGACACUUUAUGGUUUAAUAUUGAAAGAGGCUAUAUCAAAUCACCGGAUUAAAACUAGGGAAAAGGUCCAAAUUUGUCCUUAAAAUUUAUGAACUAAUCAAAUUUGCCUUCACAUUAAAUAGUAGAAAUAGCGUGGGAUAACCACUUUUUAAAAUGGUAUUUAGUUUUUAUCCAAUAUUUUUAAUGCUGAGCAAAAAUAACUACUACUCUAUUAAAAUUAAUACGAAAAACUAUUUUUACCCUUUUUUCAUGGGCGCUGUGUAAAUAUUAAGGACAUGGUCCUUAACAUUUACAUUGCACACAUAAAGUUAAGGACGCCAUAUCCUUAACUUUUACUGCACAUAUGAAGUUAAGGACACGACAAUACACUUUAUCCUUAAUAUUUACACAACAUUCAUGAAGUUAGGACACCAUAUCCUUAAUAUUUACACAAUACUCAUAAAGCUAAGGACACUAUGUCAUUUACAGUGCAUAUAUGAAGUUAAGGACAAGGGAUCCUAAAGUUUAGCAACAGAAGGUACAAAUACAAGUUAAGGACAUUAUGUCCUUAACAUUUACACUGCACACAUAAAGUUAAGGACGCUAUGUCCUUAAAAUUUACACUGCACAUAUGAAGUUAAGGACAUGACAUGAUACUUUGUCCUUAAUAUUUACACAACAUUGAUGAAGUUAAGGAUAGGGGUGUCAAAUGGGCGGGUUGGGUCAAUUUUAGGCGGAUUAAAAUGGGUUUAAUCAAUAAUUGGGCGGGUCACAAAAGUUACUUGGGCUAAGAUGGGUUGGGUCAAGAUGAGUUAAAAUUCGGGUCAUAACCCAACCUGCCCAAUUCUUAUUAAACUUUAAUUAUUAUGUAUUAUUUUCUUAUAAAUUGUAUAAUUACUAAAUAAGACUUUUUUGCUUUUGUUAUGGUCAUAUUUAAAAUACGGAGAAAGGUCAUAUAUGCCCCUAAACUAUACGUUUUGGAUCAAUAAUGCCCUCCAUCAACCUAUUGGGCCAAAUAUGUCCUUCCAUUAAUGUUUUUGCCUCACAAAUGCCAUUUGAGUUAACUGAUUGACACGUGUCAUUGUCCUGUUGGUCAAUUCUAAAUAUUUCUUAAUUAAUUAAAAAGACUAAUUAUUCAUACCCGAAAAAUAAUUUCUAAAGCAAUUUUUCUAAAAAAAAAUUUUACCAAAAACUGAAGAAAAAAAGGAUUUUUUCCCCACUUUUUACAAAAAAAAGAUAUUUUUUUAAUAAAACAAUAUUUUUGUAAAAAAUAAAAAAUAACAUACAAAAACAAAAGUAUAUUAUAUGUAUAUUAUUAUACAUAUAAUAUAUGACUUCAGAAUUGUAAAAUCGGGAGCUCACAUUAAAAGUAACAAAAUGCACAUGACUCCAGAAUUGUAAAAUCGGGAACUUUAAAAUUUCUAGCUUUGCUAAACUGGAAAGAAAAAGCUGGAAAAAAAUGGGUCUUUUGUAAAAUUUCCAGAUUUUACAAAAAUAUUAUUUUAGUAAAAGAUCUCUUUUUGUUUUUGUAAACAGUGGGGAAAAAAUCCUUUUUCUCUUCAGUUGUUAGUAAAAAAAAGGUUUAGAAAAAUUACUUUAGAAAAUUAUUUUUCGGGUAUGAAUAAUGAGCCUUUUUAAUUAAUUAAGAAAUAUUUAGAAUGGACCAACAUGACAAUGACACGUGUCCAUCCGUUAACUCAAAUGGCAUUUGUGAGCCAAAAACAUUAAUGAAAGGACAUAUUUGGCCCAAUAGGUUGAUGGAGGGCAUUAUUGAUCUAAAACGUAUAAUUUAGGGGCAUAUGUGACCCUUCUCCGUUAAAAUAUUAAACAAAAAAUAAAAUUAUUUUAAAGAUAUUUUGACAAACUUACUCAUAGAUCAAUUUGGGCUAAAAAUUAGCCCAACUUUAAAUGAGUUGAGAUGUGCUGGGACAAGAUGUGCUAAGUUCAGUAAAUGGCCGGGUCAAUAACCAACCCAACCUUGGGUGGGUUGGGCGGGUCAUUUGGGUUUGGGCCAAAUUUGACAGCCCUAGUUAAGGACACCUUGUCCUUAAUAUUUACACAACACUCAUGUCUAGCAUAGGGGUAUUUUCGUUCGGGCGGAAAAAAUUUAGUGAACACUAGCUAAGGAGUAAAUACAUUUUAAACAGUGACGAAAGAAUAAAAAUAUUUCUAAUUAGUGGCUAACUGUGCACUUCCCCGUUAAAUAUACUUGUGCCUCUAUAAGGUUGGUCCAAAUAUGCUACGCAUGAUUUUUUUUAAAAGGAAAAUGAAAUUUUGCCUUUGAAGUUUGAACUAUGCGAGCAAAAUGGUCCACAUUUGCCCCUUAUUGUUGUCUCAUUUUAAUUUUAAUUGUAAAUUCGGACAUAGCAUUUUAAAAUUAUUUAAAAUAAAAUUAAUAUAUUUAAAAAUUAUGUUGAAAGUAAUACUUAGUACAAGUUAUAGUUAAUACUCUUCUUAGAACACCCGUCUCUCUCAUCCUCUCGGCGCACGUUAGCAUAACGUAUGCCGAGCUCGUGGUUAUGGCGAAAGGCGGCAGUCGCGGAAGAGGACGACCGCGGAAAAUCCCGAUUGACACUUUUGACAAGCUGAAUCAAUUUGAUUCUAGAGAAGAACAGUACGAAGGAGGUGCAGAACCCCCCACAUGCGCUAGCCCUAGGCACCAUGGAAGCUCUUGAACAAGCUUCUGAGACAGUGACAGUACAGCAAGAGGCUCUAAUAGAUAUGGUAGACACGACUAUGGAAACGCCCAAGACAACAGAGGUCGAAGGGACUACAACCCUUCCGUGUACAGUGGAACCAGAUCCUUCGGCAGAGACAACCAUGCAACCAGCAAUGUCAAUAGAGGAACAACCAGAGACUAGCAAAAACACAUUAGUGGAGCCUAAGAAGAGCUGGUNNNNNNNNNNNNNNNNNNNNNNNNNNNNNNNNNNNNNNNNNNNNNNNNNNNNNNNNNNNNNNNNNNNNNNNNNNNNNNNNNNNNNNNNNNNNNNNNNNNNNNNUGGUCCUUACUCAAUAGCCAAUAGGCCUAUGAUACUCAAACAAUGGACACCUGAAUUUGAUUUCUCAGAAGAGUUCCCGACUGAAAUACCAUUGUGGGUCAAGUUUCCGAAACUACCAAUGUCUUGCUGGGGUAUGAGGUCUCUAAGAAGAAUUGCUAGUGUACUAGGAAAACCAAUUUUUGCGGAUGAAUGUACCACAAAACAGACACAGAUUUCUUAUGCCAGAAUGCUCAUUGAGGUGACUGUCACUAAAGAACUACCAACAUAGAUCUGGGUUAUGGAUCCGAAUGGGAAGAAGUUUCUUCAAGAUGUGGUCUAUGAUUGGAAUCCCUCCUAUUGUGAGAAAUGCCAAACAAUACGACACAAAUGUGCAGCGCAUCCAAAGAAAAUCCCAAAAUAGCCUACACAAGUGUGGAAGCCAAAGGCAGUCCAGGAAUGGAGAACUUUGGGUUAUGGAUCUGAAUGGGAAGAAGUUUCUUCAAGAUGUGGUCUAUGAGUGGAAGCCUUCCUAUUGUGAGAAAUGCCACAUAAUAGGACACAAUUGUGCAGCGCAGCCAAAGCAAAUCCCAAAACAGCCUAUACAAGUGAGGAAGCCAAAUGCAGUCCAGGAAUGGAGAACUAAGGGCCCUGCUGUGCCAAUGCAGAGACAACCUCCAAUACAUUAUAAUGAAUCCAAGGGGCUUCAUACUGAAGCCAGGACAGUCCAGAGCCAGAGGGCUGAGAAAGGCAGUGACAAUGGGAAACAACCUCAGAGUCCAGCACUCAACAUCACUAAUUUCCCACCUCUGUCCCCCAUCACUGUGAGUAACAGAUUUGAAGUAGUUUCUGGUAGUAAAGAUGACCCUCCAGGGGAGUUAGGAGGAUCAACAUAUUAUCAAUGAAGGGGUUAGUUUGGAAUAUAAUGGGUGUAAAUAAAAGGUACAAGCAGAAAGAAGUUAGGGAGUAUAUAAGGAAAAACAACAUUAANNNNNNNNNNNNNNNNNNNNNNNNNNNNNNNNNNNNNNNNNNNNNNNNNNNNNNNNNNNNNNNNNNNNNNNNNNNNNNNNNNNNNNNNNNNNNNNNNNNNNNNNNNNNNNNNNNNNNNNNNUAAGCAAAUACAUGCUAGUAGAAUUGCUAAUCUACUAGCACCAGGCUGGGGUAUCUUAACAAACUAUGUCUCAGGUGAAAAGGGUAGAGUGUGGAUUCCCUGGAAUCCAAAAGUUUUUAAGUCACUAGUGUUCUGGAGGAAAGCCAGUUGAUUCACAACAGGGUUUCAAGCAGGGCAGGGGAUUUCACAUGCUUCCUCACUGUGGUGUAUGGUUUUAAUGGGCUGGAACAGNNNNNNNNNNNNNNNNNNNNNNNNNNNNNNNNNNNNNNNNNNNNNNNNNNNNNNNNNNNNNNNNNNNNNNNNNNNNNNNNNNNNNNNNNNNNNNNNNNNNNNNNNNNNNNNNNNNNNNNNNNNNNNNNNNNNNNNNNNNNNNNNNNNNNNNNNNNNNNNNNNNNNNNNNUCAAGAUCCAUGGGUAGUUGCUGGGGAUUUCAAUGCUGUCUUAUGUGACAAAGAUAGGCAGUCCUGCAAACCAGUCAGACUCCCUGAAACUGAAGAGUUUAACAAAUGUAUUCAGCUAGCUGGUCUGUCAGAAUUGCCUUAGAGGGGUGACUAUUACACAUGGACAAAUAAACACAUUGGUGUGGACAGAGUAUACAGUAGACUGGACAGAGUCUUUGGUAACUAUGAAUGGAUGAUCAAAUAGAACCAGGUGGUAACUGAUUAUGAUCUGCCUCUAAUCUCAGACCAUAACCCUAUGAUAAUGACACUAACAUCAUCUGCCUGGCAUGGGAAAAAGAAUUUCAAAUUCUUUAAUGUCUGGGCUGACCAUGAGGAUUUCCAGCAGAUGCUGACAAGAGUGUGGCAGGGUGGAAAGUCAGACACUAUGAGAGCAAUAUGGUCCAAACUCAAAGCCUUGAAGAGCCCUUUGAAGGUCCUGAAUAUUAGAGAAUUCAAGACUAUCUCACAGAGAAUAGAACAGUGCAGACAGGAACUGGGGACAAUACAAGCCCAGAUGAAUAAAGGCCCUGAAUAUUAAAGAAUUCAAGACCAUCUCAUAGAGAAUAGAACAGUGCAGAUAGGAACUGGGGACAAUACAAGCCCAGAUGAAUCAAGCAUACACUGAUUGUCUACAACAGAAGGAGAAGGAGCUGGUACUAAAACUAGAAAAAUGGUCACUGAUUGAGGAAAGUGUUCUGCAACAGAAGGCAAGAGCAAAAUGGAAACAACUGGGGGACUCCAACACUAAGUACUUCUCUACAGUAAUGAAGAAAAGAACUCAACACAACUCGAUUACUGAACUUACCAAUGCAAGGGGAAUCAAACUUACUACAGCGGAAGACAUCAAAGAGGAAAUCAUGGGAUUCUACAAGUCACUGAUGGGAACCUCUGUAACCAAUCCGCCUGCUAUAAACCAACUAUACAUGUCAAAUGGCCCAAAACUGACACAACAACAAAGAAAGGAACUAUGUGCUGAUGUAACUGAUACAGAAAUAGCAGAGAGCCUCAAGGCUAUUGGAGAUGACAAAGUACCAGGGAUAGAUGGAUACAAUGUAGUAUUCUUCAAAAAGAGCUGGGGCAUCAUUGGUAACCAG